GGUUUUGUUGGCUUUGUGUCCUUAGCAUAUCUUGUUUAUUUAUCUUACCACCUAGUUUUUCUUUCCCCUUCAGCCUUUUGUAUAUUUGUACUGCAUUUCUAGUGACUUGUGCCUAAACCUAAAGUCUGAGCAGACAAGUAACACCUAAAUAUCUCCAGUGAGUUCUACAAAGGAUACACUGAUGGCAAACAAAUGUCUUCCCUGCCCAGCUGAGUCAGUCAAGUGACAAGAACCACUGUAGAAGAAAUGAAAGACUUUGAUCACCAUGAAAAACACUCAUGAUUUUGGAUUUCCUUAGCCAUUAGUUUGAAACAAGUCAACGUGGCUCUCAAAAAAUUUAAUUGUGAGGAGAUGCCUGUGUAAAGUGGUACUAACGAGCAACAAGCUGAAAAGUUGAAUGACUGCAUUGGUCCCAGGCAGAAGAUAAAUGGAACAUCAUCUUUGAAAUUUCUAAGUUUGCUUUGGAGGUUGUCAGAGCAAUGCUGUUGUAUAAAUCAUUUAGGAUCACUACUUAAUUGAGGAAUUGCAGCUGCUGAG
rnacentral:lncRNA from 1 species